CAAGGUUAUGCAGGGUUACACCACCAAGCAUAAUAGACUUUGGAUAGCAAUCUCCAGUUCCUUCCCAGUAGGCAAAACCCUUACAAUUGCAGUCAUGCAAGCAUUUGUUCAUGCAAAAGUCAAGAGAAACGAAAUGGUGGGUAGUCAUAUCAUACCCCAAGAAAUCAGUGUGGGGUAGCUUAGCAAAUUUCACCUUCUGUGCAUCACAACUGAUGUUGGUCUUUGGUCUGCAGCCUUUGCUCCGGUCGCUUGGGUCAAUGACUACAAAACCAGGGGCACACACACAAGCAGGUGCAGGCGUAUACACGCAUAUUCCAUUUUCACCGCACAAACCGCGUACUUUGCAGAGCUGAG
rnacentral:lncRNA from 1 species